AGCCAGACUCCUACGGGAGGCAGCAGUGAGGAAUAUUGGUCAAUGGGCGGGAGCCUGAACCAGCCAAGUCGCGUGAGGGAAGACGGUCCUAUGGAUUGUAAACCUCUUUAGGCGGGGAGCAAUGCCGGGCACGCGUGCCCGGAGGGAGAGUACCCGCAGAAUAAGCAUCGGCUAACUCCGUGCCAGCAGCCGCGGUAAUACGGAGGAUGCGAGCGUUAUCCGGAUUUAUUGGGUUUAAAGGGUGCGUAGGCGGAUUUUUAAGUCAGCUGUGAAAGUCCGCGGCUCAACCGUGGAAUUGCAGUUGAAACUGGAGGCCUUGAGUGCACACAGGGAUGCCGGAAUUCAUGGUGUAGCGGUGAAAUGCUUAGAUAUCAUGAAGAACUCCGAUCGGGAAGGCAAGUGUCCGGGGUGCAACUGACGCUGAGGCUCGAAAGUGCGGGUAUCAAACAGGAUUAGAUACCCUGGUAC
rnacentral:rRNA from 1 species